AUACGUAGGGUGCAGGCGUUAAUCGGAAUUACUGGGCGUAAAGCGUGCGCAGGCGGUUUUGUAAGACAGUGGUGAAAUCCCCGGGCUCAACCUGGGAACUGCCAUUGUGACUGCAAGGCUGGAGUGCGGCAGAGGGGGAUGGAAUUCCGCGUGUAGCAGUGAAAUGCGUAGAUAUGCGGAGGAACACCGAUGGCGAAGGCAAUCCCCUGGGCCUGCACUGACGCUCAUGCACGAAAGCGUGGGGAGCAAACAGGAUUAGAUACCCUGGUAGUCCACGCCCUAAACGAUGUCAACUGGUUGUUGGGGAUUUAUUUUCUCAGUAACGAAGCUAACGCGUGAAGUUGACCGCCUGGGGAGUACGGCCGCAAGGUUAAAACUCAAAUGAAUUGACGG
rnacentral:rRNA from 1 species